rnacentral:rRNA from 1 species
UACAUGUGGGGCAAGCGUUGUUCGGAAUUACUGGGCAUCAAGGGUGCGUAGGUGGCUUGUUAAGUCAGGGGUGAAAGUUUUCGGCCCAACCGGAAAAUGGCCUUUGAUACUGGCGAGCUCGAGUGCGUGAGGGGUAACCGGAACGAGCAGUGUAGCGGUGAAAUGCGUAGAUAUUGCUCGGAAGGCCAACGGCGAAGGCAGGUUACUGGUACGCAACUGACACUGAGGCACGAAAGCGUGGGGAGCAAACAGG